CGCCCCGGAAGUGUUUCCUACACAGUGUGAAAGACGUGUGUUUGGUGUGAGUAUCCGUGAAAGGAGUGUGGUUGAACGUAUGGUUGAACGUGUGAGUGUUUGUGAAUGAAUGCGUGUGAAUAUUUAUCUUUUUAAAAAAACCUACACAGUGAUCUUAUUUGAUCCGCUCUGAGUCGGGCUCUGUUCAGUGCGGAGAUGAUAGGAAACUAGCCCUCGAGCCUCCGGUGAUGAGCAGCAGGCACGUUUCUUCCAGAGCUUUCCACUGCUUUAUGUUGUGGUAAGAAGUGAUGAAUUGAUCAGAUAUACUAGUUCUCUGUUAGCACGAGCUUCGUCUCAGGCUGCGCAGUGGACAAUGAGUAUAGAGGCGAUUCUGAUCUCA